rnacentral:sRNA from 1 species
GGGCGAGGAAUCAGAGGCGCGCCAGCCAUCUGCACCGAACUGAUCGCCAUUCGACCAAAAUACGAGAUCAACUUCUGCCGCCCCCUGUUCGGACGGGCGAAUCGUGACGAGGAUCCGACUGCCGUCUUUCGGCGCGCUUGCCAUGUGGCGCCAGGAGUCUGGCUCGGGCAUCAUUUUUCCUCCCGCCUUGCUGCAGGUUGAGUGUCGCCUCGCUAUUUAAAACGGUCAACUCACACUUUGCACAACCCAUCUUCUAUCACUGUCAGGUCAGGUUGGGCGCUCCGAAUUCAGGCGGACCAUCGCUCCUCGGCGG